rnacentral:lncRNA from 1 species
AGCAAAGAAGAAAAUUGAAAAAUCUGAAAAGGAAAGCAAAGAAAAAGCAGAAAUGAAACACCUUAAAGAAGAAAAAGUCCCAGCAAGUAAAGAAAGUCUUCAAUCACACAAUGUGACAAAAGCAGAAAAACCUGCAAGACUAUCAAGGGAAGAUUCUGAGGAUGUACCAGCUUCAAAGAAAGCUAAAGAUGAAGCUGAAGAUGUGUCUUCUACAAAGAAGCAAAAAAGCCCCAUCAGCUUCUUCCAGUGUGUCUACUUGGAUGGAUACAAUGGCUAUGGAUUUCAGUUUCCUGUCACUCCUGCACACCGCCCUGGGGAGAGCUCUGGUCAACCAAGUUCUCCAGGACAGAAGCAACAAGGGCAAUAAGAGACACAUGCACAGCCCCUACAAGUGCUUUAAGACUUUGAAAAUAGGAUCUUCCAUUUGCCCACAGUGGCACAGGCAAUUGAAAUCAUAUAGUCCAGAGAAUUUCUUUGAAAAUGUUUUACUUUUCUGCCUGGUGUAGAAAGAAAGGGUGAGCAAAGGGAUUGAAUAAUAAGCAGACAAACGGGAGGGUCUGGAGCACAAGAAUUUGUCAUUUGUUGCUGGGUGUGGGUGCUUAUAUUUUUUAAACUUCCAUUCACUGUAGGGCUGUUCACAAAUUAAUUUAAAGUUUGCUUAAUAAUGGUCUUUUAAACAUAAUUGACACAAUUACAAAAUGAAGUUCCUGGCUUCAGUUAGAUAUUUACUUUUAAGUGAAAAUAAGACCAUGCUUUAAGUUGAAAGGGUAUACUAGCAUAAGCUGUGUUUUUCCAUCAUGUAGUAGGUAAACUCAACUUACCUAGUAAGUUGAUGUGUAAUAGUUUAAUUUUAUUUCUAUCUGAAUUUUUAGUUGUGACUAUGCUCUAAAAAGGGGUAACAGUUGCACCAAAGAAUGCUAUAAGUUCUUUGCGAUGUUCUCUUAGAGCUCAAAAUAUCUCUGAACUUUAGACAUGGUAAGAUGGAGUAGAAAUGUCUGAUGAAUCUUGUCUCUAAGAUUUGUCUUGAAGUACAAUUAGGACAUUCACUCCUGCGGAAAUACACCAUCCAAUUAGGCAAGUCUGGUGAAUCAUUUGUUUAAAUGUAAACAAAUGAGAGGUAGAAUAUUCAGAUUUUUUCCAGACUCUGCCCUAAUGAAAAUGUCACCUGAGUGGAAUUUUAGAUCAAUCACUAAAUUCGAGUGACAGAUGCAAGAAUAUUUUCAUUUUACUUUAAUAGGAUCAUUUUAUGGAUUUAAACAGGUUUUAUUCCUCGAAAUGUAAAAAUGUGAAUGUCAUCAAAGUUGAAGGAAUACAUUUUAAGCAUAAGUGCUUCAUGAGAUGUCUUAUUUGUUUUUUACGUAAUUGGUUACCAGUGUCAAUAAAAUGGAGGACAAUCUUUAACUUACUUGAUACAAUGCAUCACUGGGAAUGACUAUUAUAGUUGUGCCAUCCUUUGCUUCCAGUGAUAUAAACGUGUGGUUAUUUUUACCACAUUUUUCUAUCAACGCUAAAAGUCAUGCCACUGUAACCUUUAUUGUGUUUACAGUUGCAAUUCAACUAUGACAAAUUAACUCAGGAAAUAAAGUGAGUUUUCUUACUGGCUUUAUAAUUGUCUUCAGUAAAGUCUGUAAAAGCCAGAGCUGAUACUAGCCAAGUGAUUUAUUUUCAAGGACUGCCAACUAAGUUCUUUAGGUCCAAGAUGUCAAAUGCUGUUUUGCUGAAAUAUCAUUAGGCUAGAGCAUCAGUAACAUGUUGAUUAAUAAUGGAUUUUCAGUGACUUUUGUGAAAAGUUUGUCUCAGUUGCAGGCUGAUGGACCUAACUCACACCACAAAAGCCAAUGGUACUAUGAACCAAGACUAAUGACACUCCUUAGGGGGCCCUGGAGGUGUGUAACUUGAGUACUGACCAGAUGCUAUCAUCUUGCAAAGUCUCUUCAUGUAGCGAUGAAAACUUAUGGGUAGGACAGUGGAUUAAGUUUACUGCUCAACUGCUCCUCCAGUUGUCCAACUUAAUGACUAAAGGAAUAAAGAGUAAAUAUCCUAAUUUUUUUUUCAAUUUCAUAGAAAAGGAUGGCUUAUCCAUUCAAUAGCUAAUGAACAUUUACUCUUUCUAGGGCACUGUGUUAGGCAUUGGACAGUAAAAGAAAAAUAGUGAAUAUAAAUUCUUUUUCCAGUGCUAUCUUGACACGUGUGGCCUUGGAAAAUUUGCUAAAUGUACUGUGCUUGUUUCCCGUUGUGUAAAAUAGGGAUUUCAAGACAAAAAACCUUAUAUCUCACAGACAUACUGUGGAGACUGACAAAAUAUCUUAAUACCAAUGUGACAUCAAAAUUAAUUUCAGAAAUAAUUCUUGUGGAUGUGGCAAUGCUUUUCCCUCUGAGUGCUUUUCUACAUUGUAUUAUUGUUUCUUUCAUUAUCAUUAUGAAAACUAUUUGAUAAGAAAAUAAAGUAGGAUAAUUUAUUGUAAUAAGAAUAACACAAACCAAUUAUGGUGUAAACAGUAUAAAUAAUACUUGUUACAGUUUCUCUGCUUAAAGUUAUAAUGAAAAUAGCACAUGGAAAAUAUUACUAAACUCUCAUCUGUUCUUAUGGUACCAUCAAAUAAAGUAUUUCUAGUCCUUUCAU